UACAGAGGUGGCAAGCGUUGUUCGGAAUUACUGGGCGUAAAGGGCGCGUAGGCGGUCUUCUAAGUCUUGUGUGAAAUCCCUCGGCUCAACUGAGGAACUGCACGGGAUACUGGAAGACUUGAGUUCGGGAGAGGGAAGCGGAAUUCCGGGUGUAGCGGUGAAAUGCGUAGAUAUCCGGAGGAACACCGGUGGCGAAGGCGGCUUCCUGGACCGAUUACUGACGCUGAGGCGC
rnacentral:rRNA from 1 species